GACAGACUAGCUCAUCUGGAUAGAGCGUCAGCCUCCGGAGCUGAAGGCGGUGGGUUCGAGUCCCGCGUCUGUCA
rnacentral:tRNA from 1 species